ensembl:lncRNA
CUGACCUGUACAGAACUGACCGCUUCUGUCUCCAUCUCCGAAACCGUCACAGCUAAUAAACACGAGUGGUUCAGUUAGCAAACUAAAAUCAGCGAGCGCUGCGUUACCUCAGUCCAGCGCCGACAUUUACAUCUCAAACAUCUUUAACAUCACGUUAAAAAAGUUCACUAAUGAUAAUACAGAUUAGGGGCGUGGCUAGGGGCGGAGUCAGAAAAAGAGCAGAUCGAGUCAAAGAUGACACACACACACACACACACACACACUAAAUCCAGUAGACUUAGAAAAAGGAAAAUAUGUUAAGACAGGGGGUGUGUCUCGUGUGUGCACACACACACACACACACACACACACACACACACACACACACACACCCUGUUCGCCUCACGCUGGGCCUCCUCGCAGGAUUAGUGUGUUGUGUAAUUCAGUGAUUCAAUACAACUAGAGGAGAAACAGACGGAGAGUCGCCUUAUUGCGAACUUAAACCUCGUCUCCUCCCUUCUGUCUGUCUGUCUGUCUGUCUGUCUGUCUGUCUCUCUCUCUCUCUGUCUCUUUCUCUCUAUAACGCAGUAACGACUGAGCAUGCAGCAGCAGCAGGCCGGAUAGACCACAGACAACUCUCUCCAUCCGAGAGAGACAGUUAGGGAGAGAGAGAGACAGUUAGGGAGAGAGAGAGACAGUUAGAGAGAGAGAGACGGUUAGAGAGGAGGACGGAGGGGAAACUCUCACCAUGUUGAGUGUGAUUUGUUUCAUACGCAGCUUCUUUGAGACUCCAGCUGUCGAGGACUUCGCUACACAUGCUGCUCAUCCAGAAGAUGUCGACUCUCUCCAGGAGAAGAGCGCAGAAAGUCGAGAUGUUUGGAGAGAAUCAGCACUGGAAGAAGCUCAGGACAUGACUGAGGAGUAUUUUGAGACGUGCUCGUGGCACGGCGACGCUUCCUCGGAUUAUAUUGGAGAUCACGUGAACUUCUCUUCUCCUAAACGCUCCCCUGGCCUCAGAAAGCAGGACUCAGAAGGUCAGCAUGCGGUAGUUGGUGGUCCACAGCGGAACACGGAUGGAGAGGAACUCACGGUAGCAUUGGGAAGCGAGUGCAGCUUCCCAGACUCGGAUUCAGGAUGUGCAGUUCUCGAGGAAGCUGGACUUCCCUUUCUCUCACAUACCAGCGUGUUGGAUGCACCAAAAGACUCCGAUUCACAACUUUUUACAACUGGUGAGGAACUCCUGGUACAGGUGGAGGACAGCUGCGAUGCAGUGAUUUUGGAGGAUUCAGGGUGUGAUGAAGCUGCAAAUCAGUCACCAUCUGAGGAAGCUGGACUUCCUUCCAUCCUGCAGUCCAGCACAGCAGCAGAAGACUUAACUGGUUCGGAUUUAGUUGUUGCAAGCAGAGAUCUUGUGGAUGUUUCUUCUUCUAAAUGCCUCCGAAAGCUGGACUCUUCUUAUUCAGAAAGAAUGGAUGAUGUUCUCGAGAUAAACACUGGUGAAGAGCAACUCCUGGCACUAUUAUCCAGUGAGUCCAGUGUAAUGAUUUCAGAUCAUUCAGGGCAUCGUUCAUCUCUUGAGAUCGUGUCGGAGGAAGCUGGACUUCCUUCCAUUUCUCAGGCUACGUCUGAAGAAACCCUUACGCUGACUGACAGAAGUGAAGCAGCGCCGCGGUUAGAACAAACUCCUGAUUUAAGCACAGAUCAUAGGAAAUGUUCUUCUCCUAGAAGCUCUCCUGACCUCAGAAAUCUUCAUUCAGGGUGUGAUGAAGUUCUAAAUGGUUCAUCCGUUGAGGAAGCUGGACUUCCUUUCAUCUCUCAGGCUAGUGUCUCUGUCCCAAAUUUGACGGAUUCACAACUUUUCACAAUUCCUCAAGAGAAACCUGAUCUGAUCUACAGAAGUACAUCAGAACCAGAGUUAAACAGCACUUCAGAUUUCACUGUUACAAGCAAUCACAGAGAUCAUGGGAUCUUUCCUUCUCCUAAAAGCUCUCCUGACCUCAGGAAUCUGGACUCUUCUCAUUCAGAAGGGAAGAACAGUGGUCUGGAGAUGAACACGGAUGGAGAGCAACUCCUGGAACCAUUGACAAGGGAGUGCAGGGUGAUCAUUCUCGAUCAUAAUGCUGCUGAUGUUUCAGCUGUUAGGAUUUUCUCCAAGGAAGCUGGGCUACCUUCCAUCUCUGAGGUUUGCGUAUCCGACCCGGAUGUGAUCGAUUCACAACUUUUUCCAACUUCCGUAGAGACACCUGUAGAGCUCACCUGUAGAAGUGAAGAAGCUCGUCAGUUAGAAAACACUUCAAAUUUAGUUGUUGCAAGCAACGAUCAAGUGGAUUGUUCUCCUAAACGUUCUCCUGACCUCAGAGACCUGGAAAACCUGGAGUCAUCUCAUUCAGAAAUAAAGAAUGAUGGUCAGCAGAUGAACGCUGAUGAAGUGCAACACAAAGUACCACUGGAAAAUAGUGCAGUAGUGGUCAGUGCAGUGAUUUUAGAUGAUUCAGAUGAUGAAGCUGCAAACUGGUCAUUUCUUGAGGAAGCUGGACUUCCUUCCAUCUUGCACACCAACACUGCAUCAAAAGACUUGACGGAUUCAGAACUUUUUACAACUGAAGAUACACUUACAUCUACUGACCAAACUGACACAGUGCUCCAGUUAGACAACGCAUCAGAAUCAGACGCCCCAAGCAGAGAUCUUGUAGAAUGUUCUUCUCCUGACCACAAACAUCUGGACUUAGUUCAUUUAGAAAUCAAGAAUGAUGGCGUUCAAUUAAAAACAGUCACAGAAGAACUUGUAGUACCUUUGACAGGAAACUACAGUGCAGUGAUUUUAGAUUCUUUAUCCUGUGACGAAAUUGUGGAUCCAUCAUCGUUUGAGACCUUGUCCAAGGAAGCUGGACUUCCCUUCAUCUCCCAGGCCAGCACGUCUGACACAGCUUUGAUUACUGACCAAACUGAAGCUGUGGCCCAGUUAGACAGACCUAGUUCCGAUCUAGACUUUGCACGUGAAGAUCAAUUUGAUUUCCCUUCUCCUAAAAGCUCUCCUGACCUCAGGGAUCUGGACUCUUCUCCUUCAGAAAGGAAGAACAGUGGUCUGGAGAUGAACACGGAUGGAGAGCAACUCAUGGUACCACUGGCUAAUGACUGCAGUGUAGUAACUGCAGAUGAUCUGGAGAAUGCAGAAAUUGUUAAUCGGUUAUCUUCUGAGGAAGCUGGACUUCCUUCCAUCUGUCAAGCUAGCGUGUCUGACACAGACUCAAUCGAUUCACAAAGUUUUACAGCUUCUACGUGCACACUAACCCUCACUGACCGAAGUGAAGCAGAACCCCAAUUAGAAACCUCUUCUGAUUUAGACCAUGUGGACUUUUCUUCUUCUGAACACUUUACUGACCUCAGAAACCUGGACUCUGCUCAUUCAGAAAGAAAGAAUGAUGGCCUGGAGGUGAAUGCGGAGGGAGAGGAACUCUCAGUACCUCUGGUAGGUGGCUGCAAUGCAUUUAAUUUAGAUGUCUCAAGGUGUGAUGAAGUUUUAAAAGGUUCAUCUCUUGAGGAAGCUGGAUUUUCAUCUGUCUCACAAGCUAGUGUAUCUCAUACAACAUCAAAAAACCUGACUUCUGAGGAGAUCCCUACAAUGAGAGACAAAAUUAAGGCCGAAUCCCAGUUAGACAGCACUUUUCAUUUAGAUGGUUCGAGAACAGAUCAUGGGAGCAUACCUUCUCCUACAAGCUCUCCUGAAAUCAGAAAUCUGGACUCGUCUUAUUCUGAAAGAAAGGGAACUGAUAAAGAGGAACUCGUGGUACCAUUAGCAAGUGAAUGCAAUGGAGAAGAUGAUGUUGAGAAUGCAGAAAUUGAUCAUUGUUUAUCUCCUGAGGAAACUGGACUUCCUUCACAGAAUGAAGGUCUGGAGAAGAACAAGGAUGGAGAGGAACUCAUUGUACUCUUGGACCCCAAUGCAGUGAUUUUAGGUGAUCCAGGGCAGGAUGAAGUUCUAAAUGGUCCAUCUCCUGAGGUAGCUGAACUUCUUUCCAUCUCUCAGGAUGGCACGUACAACACAGAUUCGAUCAGUUCACACCUUUUUACAUCUUGUAAACACACCCUUGCACCACCAGAUGGAAGUGAAGCAGAGCCUUCUUUAGAGAACGCAUCUGAUUUAACUGGUGCAAGUAGAAAUGAAGAAGAAUCAGAUAAUGUAAAUAAAAUGGAGAAUCUCACUGUUCCUGAAUUAUCACAGAUAAUUUUAAGCACAAAUAUGGUAGAACAUCUGGGACAGAUUGAUGAAGCUAGGGUCAAACCUUCAGAGGUAAAUAGUAACAUAUUUGUGGAUCUAUCAGUAGAUGCGAAGAUGUUCGUAGAUCCAUUAAUGGGUGGAUGUCCUUGUGUUCAGUCUUCUGUCAGCUCUAGUCUUCAGUCUGAAGGUGUAACAUCACUCCAAAAGGAUCAGAGACACUUUUCCAAUCCAAACAUCAACAAGGAGAACUUAUUCGAAAGUUCUCCGUCUAUUAAAGACAGUGAUGAUUAUUCAGCAGAGGAAGAUUCCUCGAGUCCGUCGUGUGCUAACGGUUUUAUUCCAGAGCUUCACGUUCCAAUGAAUGAUGAACAAACUUUGGAUUUGGACAAUGAUCAAACUGAAAGGCGGUCUAAAAAUGUAGAUGAUUUGAUAAAUGUGCCGUUUCUGAACACUUUCAGUGUGAAGGAAUUCACGGUCAUACCCCAGAAAGAGCAGGAGGUCAUUUAUUCAGAUAACUCGGGUUAUAUCGACUCUUAUGUGAUGCCAUCUUCAGCUGGUAAAGAAUCACAACGUGUUCCCUUCGAUUGUGUUCGAGGAGAUGUUGUAGACAGCUAUGUAGGACAACUACCAGGUCCAGUUGAGGUUUUAUUCAAGGAAUCGACUCCUUUAGGUUCUCUUAACAUCACCAAAUUCACUAAACAGGUCCUGCAAGGAGACCAGGCUACGUCUGAGAAGGUCUGUGCGAAGGAGCAUGAAGCUAGUAUUUCAUAUGAUGAUUAUUGUAUGCAGGAAACAUCUGGCUUAAAAGCCUCACUGCAUUUUGAUGGUUCACAUCAUGGUUCAGACACAAACAAUAACACGAAGCAGCACACACCUGAGACACCUUGCACUUUACAUGCUCCUACACUAGAACAGGAACUCUGGAAUCAUGUGCAUCCAUCCAUGCAAGAUGGUCCCUCGAACGUCUUCUCAAAUUUAUCAAACAAUUCUGCCGGCUUCUUUGAGAUCUCUGAACGAGUCAUGAUGGAUUACAAAAGGGAUCAUUCAAAUCCACUUGAUGUAGAAGAUGCUUCUCAGGGGAAGAUGUAUGGUAAAGAGUGCCAGUUGGGGGAACACCAGGACAUCAUGGCAGAUCCUACUGUCCGUCCAGUCGCGGAUGCUCACCGUGGACUGAUUCAUUCCAGUUGUCAGAGCUCUGAGUUUUCAUACGCUCUUUCUAUAAAUGGACCUACAUGUCAGAAGAUCCUCCGAGAGCAAAGCCUAAUGCCUCACUCUGCCUCAAUCAGUGUUACCAGUGGAUCAGGAACUUAUGAAUCCGAAGCAGCACCUUUUUGUCCAGAUUCACUUCAGAUCCAGAGUUACCCUUCUAUAGAUGUUAGCACUGGCCUAGUAUCAGAUUUGGAGCCCAUUAUGGAGUCGGAGCACCCUCAGGAGAUCUCAGAGAGUUUGAAUGGAGAACUGAAGGAUCUUGUAUCAUCUGCGAAUGAGGACGAAUGCACCCCUUUACAAAGGGAUGAAAAUGAUGCGCUAUACAAUGUCGGGUCUAUGAGAGGAUUUUCUGAUAAACCAGAAGAUGUAGACACCACCUCUUGUCUGACAAACGAGUGUGAUGCUAAUGAUGAUGAUGAUGAUGAUGAUAUUCCCAAUUCCGCAUCUCCAGAUCAAGACUUUAUUACAACAAACAGUGAAGAAGUUGAAGAUCCCAGUCACGGCACAACAGGAAGCAACUCGAACUCCACUGGCAGCAGCCAGAGCUUAUUAAAGAACAAGGAGACCAAGAGCAUGUCUGCAGGGAAAAGCUCAAAGUUCUCCAGGUUCACAAGAAUCCCCUCCUUCCGCAAAAGCAAGAGAGAGAUCAAGGUUGGAAGCAAGGUUGAACCUGAGAGCAAAAUAUCUCCUGAGGUUGGAGAGGAGAGAAAUCAGACACCUAGUCAUAAUCCUACUGUAGAUCACUCGACAAAAUACGAGGAUCAAUCUAGUGAUGUGGUCUUGGGGAAAGCCCUUGGUGUAACCUGGAAUGAACAAUCCAAAUCCACGUCCAGCUCCAAGAAUACACAACAACAUGACAGUUACAGUGAGCGAGGGCAAACGAAACCUGUUCUUGAUCCCCAGAAGAAAAGCAAGAGCAGUGAUAACUUCCGCAUGAAGCUCGCACUGGCUCAGAAGUCUCUGUCGAGCUUGUUCGAGAUCCGAACUGCUGAAAAAGACCACCAACAGGAUCCCAGCGUUCUGAACCAGGAUACAAAAUCCAAGCAACCUUGGGUGAAGAGAAAAAUGUCUAAGGAUUCUGAGAUGCUAAAGAGAACUCUCUCUCUUCCUGGACCAAGUGGUGCCAAGUCUAGAUGUCGCCACCUGAGUGACUUAGUGUCUGGGUUAACCGAGGAUCGUCCGGAUCUUCAGGGAUUCCAGAGCUCCAAGGGGGAUUUUAAAAGCACAUCACACUCUGAAGCAUCAGUGUCUGGACCUAAGGCGGAGCCUGUUGAGAGGAAUACACUAUCUAAUGGCUUAGCUAAAAACUUUGAGGCUGUCCACAGUCAUGAGAACAUCUCGGAGAAACCCAUGCACCCUAGUGUUUUUGCUCUAACAAAUCAGCUAUCUCCAUCCUGGACAAGAUCCCUGGGUUCCUUUGAAGGACUUGAUACACCAACUAAGCCAAUGACUCCCAAACCACAAAAUCCUGGGGUUUGGGGCCAGAGGAGCAGCCUCCGCAACCCCUCAAAAUCCGUUGCCACCUCCCUGUGUUCUCUUGGUGAGGGUCCGAGUUUGGAGGGACUGUCAGAUCGUUCAGAAAGGCGAGUUGGGCAAAGAGCAACACGACUUGCGUCGGCUCAGUCCUUUGAGUCGGAGUACUUACUCGAAGACAUCAACUCGGACAACCGAUCUCAAACCAGCCUGGUGUCCACCAACUCCGCCACGCAGUCUGAGGAUGGUGGUACAUCAUCUCUCCAGUCAUCUUCGUCCGUGCUCCGUGUCAGAAGACGCGAUCGGCGUGUGGUCCGACCCAGACCGGUCUCUGACCUCUGCAGCUGGACUUUACCUCUGCGGGAAAUCGGAGAGACGGCGGCCGGUGCGAUUCAGGAGAGGAACGUCACAGAUAAUUGGACGGCUAAGGCGCAGAAGAGAUCGUGCUCAGAUGAGCUGCUCGGGGAGUUCCAGGAAGUGCAGAAGACGAAGGUGAUGCUGCAGAGGAGCCUCGGGACGCUGAGCACCACAUCUGAAGAGCAGCAGAAAGUACAGAUGAGACUGUCCUUCACUUCUCCACAGCAAUUGUCCUCCACCUCUCUUAAAGACCACUUCUUCUCUCAGAGCACUCCGAUUGGACUGGACUGUCUCCACUGGCCACGCCCAGUUUCAUUCUCAGAGUCGUGUCUCGUCCGACCUUCAGAGCACACACUCGCGCAGCCGGCCGCUCUCGGUGAGUAAACGUUCUUUAAAUUGUGCGAUGGUACAGAGUUUAUCCAGCAGCUGCUGUUGGGGAAAUCACAGAGAGAGAAAACAGGAAAAGCGCUGUGACAUCAUCAUCACGCGACGAGUUUCUUUCUACGCUCACGUGAACUCUCAGACGUCCCUUGUCUCACGUCUCAGCAGUGUCAUAAUAUCAUGUUUUACUUUUUUAUUCUUCUCUUCUUUCAUGUUUUUGCUCAGUUUUGGUCAGUCACCUGUUUUUAAACUAAUUUAUAAAUGAUUUUUAGUGUUUUUUUCUGAUGCUCUUGCCUCAGGUUCUCAAAUAAACUCGAAAAAUAAUCAUUAUUAAAUUAACAGAGGAUUUUUAGGCCUUUUAAAGCUCCGCUCAGAGAAACUAAUUUUAACAUUUAAAAAAAUGACUGCUGUUUAGUAAUCUAAACAAAAAAAUCCUGUCAUUUAAAAGUGCCGAUUAUUUAAAGAGACACGCUCAUGUUAAGAGGGUCGGGACAGGUUUAUUUAACUAUAAUAAUAAUAAUGAGAUAAUUAGCUUCAUGGUUUCCUCCUGAAUGUUGAACACAAGUAAAUAAACCUUUUAAAUUAAUGUCUGAUAACUACAGUGGUGCUUGAAAGUUUGUGAACCCUUUGGAAUUUAAGAAAUUUCUGCAUAAAUGACGUAAAACAUCAUCAGAUUUUCACACAAGUCCUAAAAGAUGAUAAGGAGAACCCGAUUAAACAAACGAGAUGAAAAUAUUAUACUUGUUCAUUUAUUUAUUGAGGGAAAUGAUCCGAUAUCACAGAUCUGUGCGGAGUAAAAGUAUGUGCACCUUUCUUCAAACACAAUGCUUCUCAUUUAAACCAAAAAGUUCUCUUUUGGUCUAUUCAUCCAUCCACAGAAUAUUUUUCCAUCGGUCUUCCGUCUCGUCCGCGUGAUCGUUUUCAAACUGCAGAAGGACAGAAAUGUUCUUUUUGGAGAGCGGUGGUUUUCUCCUCGCAGCCCUGACAUGCACUCCAUUGGUGUUCAGUGUUCUCCUGAUGGUGGACUCAUGAACGUUAACAUUAGCCAGUGUGAGAGGAGUUCCCCUGGGUUCCUCUGUGACCUGGUGGACGAUUCCACGUCUGGCUCUUGGAGAGAUCUUCGUUGGUCUCCACUCCUGUGGAGGGGAACGAUGGUGGUGAAUUUCCUCCGUUUCUACACGAUCUGUCUGGCUGUGGAUGGGUGGAGUCCAAACUCUUUACAGAUGGUUCUCUUCGACAACUCUUUCCCUGAGGUCCUCGGAAAUCUCCUUCGCUCGUGCCGUGAUCCACUUCCGCAGACACGUGUCGUGAAGAUCAGACUCUGAUAGAUCCCUGUUCUUUAAAUAAAACAGGACGCUCGCUCGCUCGCUCACUCACACACACCUGAUCAUCAUCCCACUGACUGAAAACACCGGACUCCAAUCUCACCUUCACAUUAACUGAUAAUCCUAGAGGUGCACAUACUUUUACUCCUCACAGAUCUGUAAUACUGGAUCACUUUCCUCGAUAAAUAAAUGAACAAGUAUAAUAUUGUUGUUUAAUCGGGUUCUUUAUCUACUUUCAGGACUCGUGUGAAAAUCUGAUCAUGUUUUAGAUCAGAUUUAUGCAGAAAUGUCAAAUUCUUUCAAACAAACUUUCCAGCACCGCUGUACACGACUCUGUUCUUCUGUCUGUCUAAUUUAUCCAUCUGUCUGUCUGUUUUAUUUAUAUAUAUAUAUAUAUAUAGGAUGUAAAAGUCAUAAUUUUGUGGUGUACAGUAUGCGGCUUGAGUAAGUAAAUGAAUUUAAAUGAAUUACAAUGUUACAAUCGUAUUAUAAAGAGGAAUAAAAUGCUAAUAUUUGUUCUGUUUACAGGUUUAUGGUGUUUAUUUUUGGAGUUAGUGUCAGUUUUAUAGCGUUACAUUUGAUUGAAUCUUAAUUGGAAUAGUUUACUCGUUAAGCGUUAAUUAAAACCCGCGUGAGCUUCUGACGCUGUGAUAAAUGAGCAGAUGACGGGAUUCGCCCUGCGCUAGUGCGCGAGGUGUUCAGUGAGGCGUUGCAGAACCUCUUCAGCCCUGUAGGACGUGGGUUCCGAACCCUGCGUAGUGGAGACGUUCUGCAGGAAGCUCUUUGUCACUCCUGUACGAGUGCAGUGGGUGAUGUAUGAAUUGUUGACACUGCUUACAGAAACGGCUUUUUUCUCCAGGCACGUGUGCACGUGUGACUGUCUUCUACACGCUUAGACGUGCACUAGACGUGUUCAGGGAUGAACCUGUAGUGGAUAAAUAAGUGCACUCGGACGUGCGGGUUGAAUUCUCUCCUCGGUUUGAGUAACAGCACUGAAGGGGGUCAGUACGGGGGGACUGUGAUGCACGGAUGAAGACGGUCUUUUUUCAUCGCCAGCCAGUUCCCUUUCUAAUCAUUAAAAAUGUCUUCUUUUAUUUUAAUAAACGUGUGCGUAUCAUCUCUCAUUCAGUAUUCUAUAUUAAUAUUCAGGGUUGGCAAGUCGAGCUUGAACUUAAGCUUGUGUAAAUCGUGUGUCCGCGUCUCCUCAGUGGCUCCCUGUUGAUGCUGUGAGUGUGUGUGUGUGUGUGUGAGUGUGUGUGUGUGAAAGCGAGAGGGAGCCAGAGAGAGAGGGAGAGGCUCGAUCAUGUGUGUUUCAGUCUGUGAGCGAGUGUAGGAAGGAUGCAGGCGACAUCGUGAGUGUUUCUGACGCUUGAAAUUUACCAGUGGAGGUUGUGAUUCGCUCUCACAUACACACGCACGCACGCACACACACGCGCGCGCACACACACACACACACACACACACAUUUGUCUGGAGUCUGUACCAGCUUGAAGAGCAGCCGCCCUCCUCUUCUUCCUCGACUGUGUGUGUGUGUGUGUGUGUGUGUGUGUGUGUGUGUGUGUGUGGCCGAAUGCAGACACAGCAGCAGAUUUGGGAGUCAUUAGGGGGGUGAAAGCGAUACGAGGGGUCAUGUCUCAUUACUGGAGCCUAGAAAGUCUACACUCCACCAACGGUAAGCGUCCUUCUGUCUCUUCAACGCUGCUGUAGUGCGCACUACCUAGUGAUGUUCUGUCUCCCUGAGACGUCUCUCUGCGUUUUAUAGCGUGACAGGUGGACAGUGUCUUUAAAUACUGUAGUAUAGCCGGGGUUUAUUGGAAAUGGAGCAAAUCGGUGUGUGUGUGUGUGGGGGGGUGGGGGGUGGGGGGGGGGGUGGAAAUAAGAGAUUUAGGAACAUCACCUUGUUGCUCUCAGCUUAAAAAAAAAAAAAAAAAAAAAAAAAAAAAAACUUGAAAUCAUCUCUAUUAAAAAUCAAUCAAUAAAUAAUGGUUCAGUUGUUCGUGCAGUUUUACAGCGGAAACGUACAGCUGCGGGUUUUCUGAAACGAGUUCCAGUUUGUGUCUCCGCUUUGAGUCUCUUUAUUUCCCUCUUCCUAUAGAUUAUUAGAGUUUAGAUUAUAAACAUGAAGCACCACGGGGCACUAUGUUACAAAAUUAUAACCGUAAAGAUUCACUAAUGCUAAAAAGUUUUUCAAAUUAUGAGGUGAAAAUGUUUUUAAAAGUUACUAAUGUUAAAAAUGUAUCAAAUUAAAAUGUAAAAAAUAUAAAGUAAAAGAUAACAAUGUUACAAAAUGAUAAUGUACAAAAUAACUUACUCAUGUAAAAAUGUUACAAAAUUUGUGUUUAAAAGUAAAAAAAAAAAACGUCACAAGAUCACAAUGUUUAGAUUGCGUAAAAAGAAUUACUCGCAUUAUUCUUAGAAUUACUGAGAAUGUAGAAAUAAGUCAAAAGACUGUUACAAAAUGAUAAUGUUAAAAUGUUUUAAAAAAAUAUAAAGUGAAAAAUAUUAUAAUGUAAAAAAAAUUCUACUGCUGAAAGGUUGGUGUUGGAAAUGUACACGAUUACAAUGUGAAAAUGUUUCAAAAAUGAUAAAGUCACGAAAUCACAGAGUUAGAAACAAAGUUACACUACAGGAAGUCGUGAGAGGAAUCUGCAACAAUUCCGUGUCAAAUAUUUAGUGCACUCGAACAUCAACCCCAUCUCGUACCCUACAGGAGGAGUAGUGCACUAGAUCAUCUCAGAGUUCAGCUCUUCUGUGA